rnacentral:rRNA from 1 species
UCGUGGAGUGAUCUGUCUGCUUAAUUGCGUUUCACUAAGGGCUUAUAAAUUUACGUAUGUUGUGAGUACUUUGACCCCUAUAUUGAAAUAUAUAUAGUGCGCGUCUUAGUUUGCUUCACUCAUACAAUUAAGUCCUGAAAGCAACGAACGUGACCGCAACCUCUUGUUGCUUCUAAUUUUAACGCGUAUUUUAAUAUUUAUAUUAUUUUACGUAUAAAGAAGCUUUGAAACUAGAGGGACCG